rnacentral:rRNA from 1 species
UACGUAGGGUGCAAGCGUUAAUCGGAAUUACUGGGCGUAAAGCGUGCGCAGGCGGUUUCGCAAGUCAGAUGUGAAAGCCCCGGGCUCAACCUGGGAAUUGCAUUUGAAACUACGAGGCUAGAGUGUGUCAGAGGGGGGUAGAAUUCCACGUGUAGCAGUGAAAUGCGUAGAGAUGUGGAGGAAUAUCGAUGGCGAAGGCAGCCCCCUGGGAUGACACUGACGCUCAUGCACGAAAGCGUGGGGAGCAAACAGG